rnacentral:rRNA from 1 species
GACGAACGCUGGCGGCGUGCUUAACACAUGCAAGUCGAACGGAAAGGCCCUGCUUGCAGGGUACUCGAGUGGCGAACGGGUGAGUAACACGUGGGUGAUCUGCCCUUCACUUCGGGAUAAGCCUGGGAAACUGGGUCUAAUACCGGAUAGGAGCCAUUUUUAGUGUGAUGGUUGGAAAGUUUUUUCGGUGUAGGAUGAGCUCGCGGCCUAUCAGCUUGUUGGUGGGGUAAUGGCCUACCAAGGCGGCGACGGGUAGCCGGCCUGAGAGGGUGGACGGCCACAUUGGGACUGAGAUACGGCCCAGACUCCUACGGGAGGCAGCAGUGGGGAAUAUUGCACAAUGGGCGCAAGCCUGAUGCAGCGACGCCGCGUGGGGGAUGACGGCCUUCGGGUUGGAAACUCCUUUCGCUAGGGACGAAGCUUUUUGUGACGGUACCUAGAUAAGAAGCACCGGCUAACUACGUG